AAAAUAUUUUCUCAACCUCAAUGAAUGAUGAUAGAUCUAUGAAAAACAUUCUCAUCAAUUUAUUAAUUUAUUUGAGAUUUUAGUUCAAUUAGGUUAUUUUUAUGCAUUUUUAAUUGAUUUAAAAUAGUUUCUGACUUCUAAAAAUGCUGAAAUUCUUUGUCAAACUUUGUUUGACCUUGUUGAACUUGAGAUAAUUCACUUGGACUUUUCAAAGUUGAUUUGAA
rnacentral:lncRNA from 1 species